CAGAUCUGUUCCAGCGUCAGCCAGCUCACACAUCCCUCCCAAACUCAAAGAUGGAGGCAGAAUGCCUGAGCAACCCUGUGGAGCAGCCACUUACAGGAGGGACUUCUUGAGCAUAGACUGCCUGCCCUGCCUGGCUUUCCAUCAUAGCAUCCAAAGGGUAGCAAGCACACCUGACAAGCCUACCGGAUCCAGGAGAAGGGGGCAUAGAUACAUGCCUGCCAGCAUACAUAAUAAAUGUGGAUCAAGAGCCUACUCCACACCAUGGCUGCCCUUAGGAGCAUGAAACCAAGGAUGACCCCAGUCAUGGUGGUGCUGAGCUUCCAGUAAAGGGAGCUGCUAAUCACAGUCACAAGGAUGUACUGCCUCACACCUGGGAGGAUGAACUGUGGGCGAGCUGCACAAUGGUAAAGCCACAGGAGCAAAACAGUAUGAAGACCAAUUCCUCAUAAUACAGAUAAUAAAAUUACUAUCCGAUAU
rnacentral:lncRNA from 1 species